UCGGGGAUAGCCUUUCGAAAGAAAGAUUAAUACCCGAUUGUAUCUUAAGCACGCAUGAGAUUAAGAUUAAAGAUUUAUCGGUAAGCGAUGGGGAUGCGUUCCAUUAGGCAGUUGGCGGGGUAACGGCCCACCAAACCUACGAUGGAUAGGGGUUCUGAGAGGAAGGUCCCCCACAUUGGAACUGAGACACGGUCCAAACUCCUACGGGAGGCAGCAGUGAGGAAUAUUGGUCAAUGGGCGAGAGCCUGAACCAGCCAAGUAGCGUGAAGGAUGACGGCCCUACGGGUUGUAAACUUCUUUUGUGCGGGAAUAAAGGAGCUUACGUGUAGGCUUUUGCAUGUACCGUAACGAAUAAGCAUCGGCUAACUCCGUGCCAGCAGCCGCGGUAAUACGGAGGAUGCGAGCGUUAUCCGGAUUUAUUGGGUUUAAAGGGAGCGUAGACGGGUUUUUAAGUCAGCUGUGAAAGUUUGGGGCUCAACCUUAAAAUUGCAGUUGAAACUGGAGAUCUUGAGUACGGUUGAGGCAGGCGGAAUUCGUGGUGUAGCGGUGAAAUGCUUAGAUAUCACGAAGAACCCCGAUUGCGAAGGCAGCCUGCUAAGCCGCCACUGACGUUGAGGCUCGAAAGUGCGGGUAUCAAACAGGAUUAGAUACCCUGGUAGUCCGCACGGUAAACGAUGGAUACUCGCUGUUGGCGAUAGACGGUCAGCGGCCAAGCGAAAGCGUUAAGUAUCCCACCUGG
rnacentral:rRNA from 1 species